GACGAACGCUGGCGGCGUGCUUAACACAUGCAAGUCGAACGGAAAGGCCCUGCUUUUGUGGGGUGCUCGAGUGGCGAACGGGUGAGUAACACGUGAGUAACCUGCCCUUGACUUUGGGAUAACUUCAGGAAACUGGGGCUAAUACCGGAUAGGAGCUCCUGCUGCAUGGUGGGGGUUGGAAAGUUUCGGCGGUUGGGGACGGACUCGCGGCUUAUCAGCUUGUUGGUGGGGUAGUGGCUUACCAAGGCUUUGACGGGUAGCCGGCCUGAGAGGGUGACCGGCCACAUUGGGACUGAGAUACGGCCCAGACUCCUACGGGAGGCAGCAGUGGGGAAUAUUGCACAAUGGGCGGAAGCCUGAUGCAGCAACGCCGCGUGCGGGAUGACGGCCUUCGGGUUGUAAACCGCUUUCGCCUGUGACGAAGCGUGAGUGACGGUAAUGGGUAAAGAAGCACCGGCUAACUACGU
rnacentral:rRNA from 1 species